AUUGAACGCUGGCGGCAUGCUUUACACAUGCAAGUCGAACGGCAGCGCGGGCUUCGGCCUGGCGGCGAGUGGCGAACGGGUGAGUAAUACAUCGGAACGUGCCCAGCAGUGGGGGAUAGCUCGGCGAAAGCCGGAUUAAUACCGCAUACGACCUGAGGGUGAAAGCGGGGGAUCUUCGGACCUCGCGCUAUUGGAGCGGCCGAUGGCAGAUUAGCUAGUUGGUGGGGUAAAGGCCUACCAAGGCGACGAUCUGUAGCUGGUCUGAGAGGACGACCAGCCACACUGGGACUGAGACACGGCCCAGACUCCUACGGGAGGCAGCAGUGGGGAAUUUUGGACAAUGGGCGAAAGCCUGAUCCAGCAAUGCCGCGUGUGUGAUGAAGGCCUUCGGGUUGUAAAGCACUUUUGGCGGGAACGAAAAGGACUGUGCCAAUACCACGGUUCGAUGA
rnacentral:rRNA from 1 species